UACGGAGGGUGCAAGCGUUGUCCGGAAUCACUGGGCGUAAAGGGCGCGUAGGCGGCCUGAUAAGUAGGGGGUGAAAUCCUGCGGCUUAACCGCAGGGCUGCCUUCUAAACUGUCAGGCUAGAGCACAGUAGAGGCAGGUGGAAUUCCCGGUGUAGCGGUGGAAUGCGUAGAGAUCGGGAAGAACAUCGGUGGCGAAGGCGGCCUGCUGGGCUGUUGCUGACGCUGAGGCGCGACAGCGUGGGGAGCAAACAGG
rnacentral:rRNA from 1 species